GACGAACGCUGGCGGCGUGCCUAAUACAUGCAAGUAGAACGCUGAAGAGAGGAGCUUGCUCUUCUUGGAUGAGUUGCGAACGGGUGAGUAACGCGUAGGUAACCUGCCUUGUAGCGGGGGAUAACUAUUGGAAACGAUAGCUAAUACCGCAUAACAAUGGAUGACACAUGUCAUUUAUUUGAAAGGGGCAAUUACUCCACUACAAGAUGGACCUGCGUUGUAUUAGCUAGUAGGUGAGGUAAUGGCUCACCUAGGCGACGAUACAUAGCCGACCUGGGAGGGUGAUCGGCCACACUGGGACUGAGACACGGCCCAGACUCCUACGGGAGGCAGCAGUAGGGAAUCUUCGGCAAUGGGGGCAACCCUGACCGAGCAACGCCGCGUGAGUGAAGAAGGUUUUCGGAUCGUAAAGCUCUGUUGUAAGUCAAGAACGGGUGUGAGAGUGGAAAGUUCACACUGUGACGGUAGCUUACCAGAAAGGGACGGCUAACUACGUGCCAGCAGCCGCGGUAAUACGUAGGUCCCGAGCGUUGUCCGGAUUUAUUGGGCGUAAAGCGAGCGCAGGCGGUUUGAUAAGUCUGAAGUUAAAGGCUGUGGCUCAACCAUAGUUCGCUUUGGAAACUGUCAAACUUGAGUGCAGAAGGGGAGAGUGGAAUUCCAUGUGUAGCGGUGAAAUGCGUAGAUAUAUGGAGGAACACCGGUGGCGAAAGCGGCUCUCUGGUCUGUAACUGACGCUGAGGCUCGAAAGCGUGGGGAGCGAACAGGAUUAGAUACCCUGGUAGUCCACGCCGUAAACGAUGAGUGCUAGGUGUUGGAUCCUUUCCGGGAUUCAGUGCCGCAGCUAACGCAUUAAGCACUCCGCCUGGGGAGUACGACCGCAAGGUUGAAACUCAAAGGAAUUGACGGGGGCCCGCACAAGCGGUGGAGCAUGUGGUUUAAUUCGAAGCAACGCGAAGAACCUUACCAGGUCUUGACAUCCCGAUGCUAUUUCUAGAGAUAGAAAGUUACUUCGGUACAUCGGUGACAGGUGGUGCAUGGUUGUCGUCAGCUCGUGUCGUGAGAUGUUGGGUUAAGUCCCGCAACGAGCGCAACCCCUAUUGUUAGUUGCCAUCAUUCAGUUGGGCACUCUAGCGAGACUGCCGGUAAUAAACCGGAGGAAGGUGGGGAUGACGUCAAAUCAUCAUGCCCCUUAUGACCUGGGCUACACACGUGCUACAAUGGUUGGUACAACGAGUUGCGAGUCGGUGACGGCGAGCUAAUCUCUUAAAGCCAAUCUCAGUUCGGAUUGUAGGCUGCAACUCGCCUACAUGAAGUCGGAAUCGCUAGUAAUCGCGGAUCAGCACGCCGCGGUGAAUAAGUUCCCGGGCCU
rnacentral:rRNA from 1 species